rnacentral:tRNA from 1 species
AAAGGAACAUAAGAACUGCUAAAUCCAACAACUGAUACUAAAACAUCAGGCCUUUCUA